GGAUUUUUGGGCUGGUGCCUGCAAGAUGAGGAUUCUCUGGGGGGAAGAGGAGCUGCUCAGGGGCCUGGCUGGAGUUUGAUGUGAACGCUUUCUGCAGCUGUACAUGAUGUACUCGAGCAGUUUCCCAGCGCUGAGGCCAUGUCAGGAGGAACAGUGCCUUCUGGAGAUAUUUCAUCCCAACGUCUUCUGGAAAGUUCAUUUCUGCCUUGACGAAAUUCAGUUUUUAUUAAAAAUGAUUAAUGUCUAGAAAUUUAAUCAAUGCGUAUUCACACGGAGGCGGCCUUACUGUAAUAGUUUGAUUUUAAGCAGCUUGUGUCCUGAUGCGUGAGGUGUGUUAUGCUAUCUGACAGCGGCGACAUUUAUAUUUGUAAUUACCAAAUGGCGACAGCCCACUGGAAAGCCUGCCCUGCUGCAGGGAGCAGAAUGGAUGUAAAUGCACGGCACUGGGAAGCACAAAACUCACCGUAUAUCAGUGGAUCCCGAGAUUAAAAAGCAGGGGAUGACAUUCUCCUCCCAACGAAAGCACGCGUGUGUUCCGAGAUCAAUUGCUGACUUCUAUUUAUUUCUUUUGUACUUAUGAAAUAGUCUCUUCCUGCUCAUUGCCUGACCCUGCUGCUUCUAUUUCAUCACGUGGGAACAUCUUGAGAACAAAAUGCGGCACGCAGGGAUAUGAGCCUCUUAGGGCUUGAUUAUAGAAUGCUGAAAAAUUGGAGCAACCAAUGGGAGAGAGAGACCUCAUUGGAUGUGUGCAACAACUGGAAAACCCAUUCAGGACUGAUCCUAAAGAAGAUCCAAGUUCCUUCUAGUUGACCCUGUGACCCCUCUGAGGUGGUGUCCAGCCAUGGGGUUGAGCACCUGGCUUUGGUGCGUAACAGAUCUGACUCUGCCGAGCGGCAGCAUUGCACACCCACCUUCAUGCUGUGCAAAUGGCUGCUCACGGCGUUUGGGCUUUUUGCUCAGCUCCAGUUGCUGAACAGGUCUCACUGAGAGCCCUCUGCCAUGAGCUGUAAAUAGCAACCUUGUGACUUCCUCUGGCGGGUGUUGCACCUGGCUAUGUCUGAUAGUCAUAAUAAACAUUUUCUCUUCUUGUGUAUU
rnacentral:lncRNA from 7 species